GCAGUAGCCGCGGGAAUACGUAGGGUGCGAGCGUUAAUCGGAAUUACUGGGCGUAAAGCGUGCGUAGGUGGUGGUUUAAGUCCGUUGUGAAAGCCCUGGGCUCAACCUGGGAAUUGCAGUGGAUACUGGGUCACUAGAGUGUGGUAGAGGAUAGUGGAAUUUCCGGUGUAGCAGUGAAAUGCGUAGAGAUCGGAAGGAACAUCUGUGGCGAAGGCGACUAACUGGGCCAACACUGACACUGAGGCACGAAAGCGUGGGGAGCAAACAGGAUUAGAGACCCCCGUAGUCCCUGUCUCUUAUAC
rnacentral:rRNA from 1 species